rnacentral:rRNA from 1 species
CGUAGGGUGCGAGCGUUAAUCGGAAUUACUGGGCGUAAAGCGUGCGCAGGCGGUUUUGUAAGACAGGCGUGAAAUCCCCGGGCUCAACCUGGGAACUGCGCUUGUGACUGCAAGGCUAGAGUACGGCAGAGGGGGGGUGGAAUUCCACGUGUAGCAGUGAAAUGCGUAGAGAUGUGGAGGAACACCAAUGGCGAAGGCAGCCCCCCUGGGUCGAUACUGACGCUCAUGCACGAAAGCGUGGGUAGCAAACAGGAUUAGAUACCCUGGUAGUCCACGCCCUAAACGAUGUCAACUAGGUGUUGGGUGGGUAAAACCAUUUAGUACCGGAGCUAACGCGUGAAGUUGACCGCCUGGGGAGUACGGCCGCAAGGUUA